UACGAAGGGGGCUAGCGUUGCUCGGAAUCACUGGGCGUAAAGGGUGCGUAGGCGGGUCUUUAAGUCAGGGGUGAAAUCCUGGAGCUCAACUCCAGAACUGCCUUUGAUACUGAAGAUCUUGAGUCCGGGAGAGGUGAGUGGAACUGCGAGUGUAGAGGUGAAAUUCGUAGAUAUUCGCAAGAACACCAGUGGCGAAGGCGGCUCACUGGCCCGGUACUGACGCUGAGGCGCGAAAGCCAGGGGGAGCAAACGGG
rnacentral:rRNA from 1 species